rnacentral:rRNA from 1 species
CAUAGGUUAAUGAGGCGAACCGGGGGAACUGAAACAUCUAAGUACCCCGAGGAAAAGAAAUCAACCGAGAUUCCCCCAGUAGCGGCGAGCGAACGGGGAGGAGCCCAGAGCCUGAAUCAGUGUGUGUGUUAGUGGAAGCGUCUGGAAAGGCGCGCGAUACAGGGUGACAGCCCCGUACACAAAAAUGCACAUGCUGUGAGCUCGAUGAGUAGGGCGGGACACGUGGUAUCCUGUCUGAAUAUGGGGGGACCAUCCUCCAAGGCUAAAUACUCCUGACUGACCGAUAGUGAACCAGUACCGUGAGGGAAAGGCGAAAAGAACCCCGGCGAGGGGAGUGAAAAAGAACCUGAAACCGUGUACGUACAAGCAGUGGGAGCCUCUUAAUGGGGUGACUGCGUACCUUUUGUAUAAUGGGUCAGCGACUUAUAUUCUGUAGCAA